rnacentral:tRNA from 1 species
GGGCUGGUGGUGUAGCCUGGUUAGCACAUCGCCCUUACACGGCGAAGAUCCCAGGUUCAAAUCCUGGCCAGCCCA